ACUGGAUUUCAGAGCAAAUAAUCAAGCACUAUCUCCCUUUCCAGAACAGCUUUAACUUCCUGUUUCACUCCCACCUGAGCCGCAGACCAUCAGCCCACUGGAGUCACGCCGCCUGACAGCAGUCUAUCUAUGUGUCCAUCUGUCCAUCCAUCUAUCUAUGACCCGCUAUGAUCUACACCUGACCCGCUCCAGCCCUCCAGUGACCACAGAGGAACAGAAACCUACAUAGCUUUAAAAUUUACUAGAUGGUGCGUGAACAUUUUUGAGAAAAGAGAAGAAACCAUGAGAAAAAAAAAUACCUGAAAUUAGAAGUUUUAUGGCUCUUGUUUUGAGUGAAUGCCCGUUUGUGAAUGAUUCGUUCAUUUCAAAUGAAUCGUUAAUAUAUAAUCAGGAAUAACGAGUCAUCUCAGACAGUUAUUUAUUAAUUUUUUGUUCUGUAAGAGACAGAAAUAACUCCUACAGUUACAUCAUGCAUCUGUGGUCUCAAAUUGCAGCUUUUUUUAUUUCAUACAGUUUACACAUUUGUGAAUUUCUGUCAUGAUGGUUCUUUUUCAUAACAUUGAAUGUGGGAACAAAGAGUUAGUUAUGCUUUAAACUUCAUUCAUAUGAUGGAGAAAAUAAUUUUGAUAAUUCCUAAAUAAAAUACAGCAUACCACAAAUACA
ensembl:lncRNA